GGCUCGGUAGCUCAGUUGGUAGAGCAACGGAUUGAAGCUCCGUGUGUCGGCGGUUCGACUCCGUCCCGAGCCACCA
rnacentral:tRNA from 1 species